CCUACGGGAGGCUGCAGUGAGGAAUAUUGGUCAAUGGGCGUAAGCCUGAACCAGCCAAGUCGCGUGAGGGAUGAAGGUUCUAUGGAUCGUAAACUUCUUUUAUAAGGGAAUAAAGUGCGGGACGUGUCCCGUUUUGUAUGUACCUUAUGAAUAAGGAUCGGCUAACUCCGUGCCAGCAGCCGAGGUAAUACGGAGGAUCCGCGCGUUAUCCGGAUUUAUUGGAUUUAAAGGGUGCGUAGGCGGGCUUUUAAGUCAGCGGGGAAAGUCUGUGGCUCAACCAUAGAAUUGCAGUUGAAACUGGGAGGCAUGAGUAUUGUUGAGGCAGGCGGAAGUCGUGGUGUAGCGGUGAAAUGCGUAGAUAUCACGAAGAACCCGGAUUGCGAAGGCAGCUUGCCAAGCCGUGACUGACGCUGAUGCACGAAAGCGUGGGGAUCAAACAGGAUUAGAUACCCGAGUAGUC
rnacentral:rRNA from 1 species